rnacentral:rRNA from 1 species
AAAUUGAAGAGUUUGAUCAUGGCUCAGAUUGAACGCUGGCGGCAGGCCUAACACAUGCAAGUCGAGCGGAAACGAGUUAUCUGAACCUUCGGGGAACGAUAACGGCGUCGAGCGGCGGACGGGUGAGUAAUGCCUAGGAAAUUGCCCUGAUGUGGGGGAUAACCAUUGGAAACGAUGGCUAAUACCGCAUGAUGCCUACGGGCCAAAGAGGGGGACCUUCGGGC